rnacentral:rRNA from 1 species
UUCCGGUUGAUCCCGCCGGAGGUCACUGCUAUUGGGAUUCGACUAAACCAUGCGAGUCGAGAGGGUUCGGCCCUCGGCUGACGGCUCAGUAACACGUGGAUAAUCUGCCCUUAGGUGGAGGAUAAUCUCGGGAAACUGAGAAUAAUACUCCAUAGAUCUAGGAUGCUGGAAUGCACUUAGAUUAAAAGUUCCGACGCCUAAGGAUGAGUCUGCGGACUAUCAGGUUGUAGUCAGGGUAAAGACCUGACUAGCCUACAACGGAUACGGGUUGUGAGAGCAAUAACCCGGAGACGAUAUCUGAGACACGAUAUCGGGCCCUACGGGGCGCAGCAGGCGCGAAACCUUCACAAUGUGCGAAAGCACGAUGAGGGAAUCCCAAGUGCUUGCUCGUAAGAGUAAGCUGUUUUUAUGUCUAAAACGCAUAGAGAGUAAGGGCUGGGUAAGACGGGUGCCAGCCGCCGCGGUAA